GUCCCACCAAAACUGUACGUCUGUCUUGACAGGAUUCAACCUCAAUCUGUUGGCCGCCAUCCAUCCUCCAACCGUCUUUGUGACGCCUAUGUUGGAUAUAGGGUCCAUAAGCAAUGUUGCUAAUGUUAUUAACAUCACUGGUAAGUUGGGGUAGGGAUGAGGGUGUUGAUAUGCUCUGGCAGCCCCAAUGUGCUGCUUGUUUGUCAGAUUUUAGCCUGUUUGUGGAUUGUUUUAUUGAGGUUAGGGUGAAGCAGGAACACCUGGAGGAAUUUUACCCUUAUGCUUUUCAUAGAAUCAGUUAGCCAUAUAACCAUAUAUCCUUAUAAUGAUUUUUAUAUAAUCCAUGUUUGAAUCAUGACGGCUUCUGCAAAAGCUUAUAGCAAAUUGCUUAGAUCGGAAGAAUCCGAAAUGAACUCUGCCCCAGUUCGCUUCCCUUGUUCUUCUUAAUGUCUCGCUAACAUAAGGGGGAAGCAAUAAAUCUGCUGUGCUGGCACUUUCCCCCCUGUCCAGACAGGGUCCUGAGUAGCUCAAACAGGAAGAUGCUAACGCAGAAUGUCCCGGUAUAGCAGAUGGCCGCGUAGGAGCGUAAGGGCCGAAGUUCCUUUUCUUCCUUCUUACCAUAAAUCAGGGGAAAGGUUAAAUGCAUGUUCAGACUGAAAAAGCAGAAGUUGGGAGGGAACUCUUUACAUGAUCAGGGGGCAAGGCUUGAAUGCUCUCAUUGGUUUUCUUUUUGCUGCCGUGUGCAAUUGUAUCGAUUAUGUCAUGUAUGUACUCAGGUAUAAAGCCUCAGGGCGCUGGAGCCCAGGGCCCAGUCUUUGGGAAAGGAUUCCACUGGGUCACUUAUUGCUCAGCAAUAAAUAUCACUUUCUUUUUCUCCACUGCUGCGUCUGUCAAUUCUGGGACACAAUUUGAGUGGCUCACUGGUACCUUAAAAAUCCUGGCAACAAGGGGAAUUAUUUUACUUACUAAGGCAUGGGGAGGGGUGCUGAGAGUGAGUUGUAGAUUGUUGGGUAAUGGGGAGUGUCUUUUGAUGUCACCUGGACUGGUGUUGGGUGGGAAUCUCUGUGGAGGUGUGAGGCUGGGGGGAAUAUUGAUCGUGUUAGCUGUAUUGAUGGCUUGGGGGGAGAGGAAAAGGAGGAGGGGGUCACCAGUCCAUCGGGUUGAGGUGAUUUCUGGUUGCUUCAUUCUGCCUUCUGCCACAUUGGCCUGUGCUCCCCGUUCCGUGUCAUUGGCAAAUGGGAUGAGCACCCCCUCAGUUCCUUCAUCCAAGUCGUUCAUAAAGACGUUGAACAACAACGGGCCCAGGACAGAACCCUGCAGCACCCCUCUUGUCACUUUCCCCCAGGAUGAUGAGGAACCAUGGAGGAGGACAAUUUGGGUUCGGUUACUCAAAUCCACCUAACAGUUUCCUCAUUCAGCCCACAUUUUAGAAGCUUAAAGGCAAAAAUAUUAUGGGGACUUCGUCAAAAGCCUUACUGAAAUCAAGAUGCAUUAUUUCCACAGCUGUUCCCUGAUCAACAAAGUUUGUAACUCCAUCCAGAAAAAGGGAGGAGAGAUUUCUCUGGCUUUUCUUGUUUUUGAGAAAGCCAUGCUUUUAUCUUGUAUGUUUAUGUUGUGAAAUCUUCAGAUGAAAGGCACAUAAAUAUUAAAAAUGAUAAAAAUAAGGAUAUUGACAGGCUGAAACAUGUGCAAAGGAAGGUGAUUUAUGUAUUUAUUUAAUUUGUCUACCACCCGACCCAGUGGUGCCAACUUGAAUAAAAUAUUGGAGGAAGGGGCCAGGUAAGGCCUGCCUUGCACAAUCAAUCACAUGAUGCAUAAAGGGCAUUGGAAUGGCAAUGCCUAUCAACUGGGGGGGGUGGCCCCCUCAAAUAUACUAUUGGGGGCAAAAACCC